UCAAAGAGGACAAACUUUAUGUAAUCCAAUAUAACUGCUUGUUACUUUGAAAUUUUCCUAUUGGCAUGCUCAAUUUUGACUUUUUAGAAAGUAUACACAUAUAUUCACCAGACUAUCAUCUGGGCUGUGGUUGGAGGGAAGAGUGGCUUCUACUGAACAACAAGCGUUUUUCAAGUUGCUUGUUGAUCAGGAGAGAGCUGCAGACCAUACAUCACAUGCAGUCAUCAGUCUUAGUAAGCUAUUCAUUGUAGAAACAUCUCCUUCUUUCUAGCAUAGGUUAAAACAUUGCAUCUGGAAGGUUGCAUGAGACAUUUUCUUUGACCACUAUAUUUUUAUUUCCCUGAUUCUUCUUUGCCUGCAACCCAUGUUUUUGCCUCUCUCUCUUCCCUCCAUCAGCCCAUGUUUCUUUUUCUUUUUUGUUUCACAUUCAUCAUAACGUUUUCUGUUAGAAAAGAAACUGGAAAUAAAAUUGUUGAUAUUCACUUGAAUUUGAAUGAUUGAAUGCAGCUUCUAUCGAUGUCAGUUCGAUGCAGUGAGCGGUGGAGAGAUGAUUCAGCUGGAGUACCACAACUUCCUUAAACCUGAAAAUACUAUGUAAUAGGGGCUUGGGUUACUUGUACGUUCUAUUUCUGGGCUAUGUAUAUAACAUUCCCUUUAUGGUUUUUAUCUUGCAUUUUACCCUUACCUAUGGAUGGCUACACAAAUCUAUUGUAAGUAUCUCAGUGUAGAUGGGUCACAAUCUAUAUAUACUGAUUAUAGUCAAUAUGAAAACAAAUUAAAGCAAACUUGUGUAGCAACUGUCUUCAUCCUAUUCAUAGUUUAAUUUCUUCUUUUCUGUGAGAUCUGAGUAGUGGCAUGUGAGAUAACAGCGUGUAAAGUUUCAUUCCAGCCUAGCACACUCUUCUUCAACUUCACCUUAUCUUCUCUUCUUCUUCAGUUUUGAUUUAUUUUUAAUUUAAUAAAAUAAUUGUUUAAUGUAUCAUUCAGGGUUCGGUUGUACAUUUUUUUUUUUAAAGAAAAAAAUGUUUAAGUGAGGGAAUACCAAUGGCAGAGUCCUAAAAUAGCUAGUGACAAGGCUCAGACUUCAAGUCCUCUGUGCUUCCCCAUGCCUUUUAUUUCCCUUUGUAUAUUGGAAAUAUAGCCCCCAAAAAAUCAAAUAUUAAAUGAGGAAGAUAAGAAAGAUGACUUAUCGUAGUAACACAAUGUGACAGAAGGAACUAGUAAAAUAUAAAUUUACUAACUAAAUAAACUAGAUGCCAUGUGUCAAAAAAAUAUUAUAGAUUUUGAAAUUGUUUAUCAGAGAUCUCAUUUCAAAAAAAAAAUUUUUUUUAAGUUAGUGAAUUUCUUCUUUUUUGCAUUUUUUUUUCUUUUUUUUUUUUUAUAAAAAAAAUCCCUCAUUUUUUGCCCUUGGAACUUCAAUCUUGCUUGGUUAGCUUAAUUCAAUGGUUUAGGGGUCAGAAAGAGGUGGUGACCAACCUGCAAAUACCACCCAACAAUGCAAUUAUGCAAGAAGAAGGGUCUGAAAGCCUGAAAGCUUGUUUGAUGAUAAACCCCAAAAAAGCUUUGGAAUACAAAGAGUGUUGGGGACAAGAAAUGAGAACGCAUCUCAAGAUGAAAUCUAAGGUCUCCAAAUUUGGUGCACUGAAAACUGUGAUUUUGACUGACUCACCUCUGACUUUUCUUUCUGCAGCAGCUUUGCCCCCAUCCACCCACCCACCCACAUGCCUACCUCCAUCGUCACACCCCACACACCCCCCCUCUAUACACCAUUUUCAUCACGCAAUCAUAGCUUCUUUUCCUUCCCUGAUAUCCCACAAUCAUCAGAUUCAUCACUCUACCUUGGACCACACACCCCUCCCAAGUAAUACAACUUUUUUUUCCCUUUUUACCCCUAUGAAUAGUCAAAGAAUUUAAUUGUAUGUCACAGACUCACAAUCAGCCAUACAGCUCCAAUGUUUCAGAGAGAAAGAAAAAAAAAAAAAAAAAAAGUACAUGGGUGGAGUGUAGCAUUGGGCCUCUUACAUAGACCAUGUGAUACUGAGUCAUAUUUACCUGACCAAAUGUAUAAAAUAAUUAACAAUCCAGAUUCACAUGGCAUAUAUAGAAAUGAAAAUGGCCCCAUUCAUAAUGUUCCUCUGAAAUUUCAUGAUACCAAUGGUGGGUCAAUAUCUGACCACUAAUUGGGGAUUUAAAACUAAUCUUCUGCCAUUAAUUUACAUCUCCAAUGAAUAAACAACUCUCAUUUUAUCAAAAAGUUUUAUUAUAUCAACUCGAAUAAUUAAAAUCCAUCAACUCUAAAUUAUUUUUUUUUAAAAGAAAAAUAAUUUGAGUGUAUGAAAUUAUUUUUUUAAAUUACAAAUUGAAUUGGUAAUUUACCAAUUCAUUUCCAUUAUAGUUAUGAAUAAAUCAUUUCGUAUACCACUAAAUAAACCCAUGAUCUAAGCCUUGAUUUAAAAAAAAAAAAUUCUAAAGUUGGUAGUGUAUACACAUUCAAAUAUAAUCUAUAUUUUUUUUUUACUUUGAUGCAAUUUAAGAAACAAUUUUUUUUUUCCAAAUAUCAAAACUAUUUUUAUUUUUCAUAAUCUAUAUUUUAAAUUAAUUAAGACUUUAAUUAUAAUUAUUUUUGAAAGUUGAUUCUUCUUUCUUUUUCGCAAAGCUCACAAGAGCAUAUAAUUUGAAAAAUAGAAAAAAUAAAAAAGAAGAAGAAAAACAAGGAAUGUUCUUAAUGAAUUUGUGUAGAAAAUUAUUUUAUAUUCAAUAAAAUUUUAAAAAUACUAAAAUAUUUAAACUUUGUUUCCAACUUCUAAAAAAAAUAAAAGAUGUGAUUACAACAUUGAAAAAUGCUUUCUCGAUUUCUAUUGAAAAAAUAGUAUGAAUUAAAUGGUGUCAAAUAUAUAUUUUUAUGUAUUCUUAUUUAAUCUAAGUCCAUAUUUUUUUGUUCAAUAUUAAGCUACAUUACCUUUUCAUUGUCCAAAAAUUAUUGCAAGCAAGAAUAGUAUUUACCUGUGCCUUUUCUUCUUCAUGAAUUCAAUGUGAACAGUAGAGAAGUCCUUUCUAAAGGAGCGGGGCAAGUUGAUUGAAACAAGAGAAUCGAGGUGGACAGCAACUACACGAAACACCACUGCAUAAGAAGCCAACAAACUAGUAUAUAAAGCCCACCAUACCCUCUUCAUUUGCAGUACCACCUCACCAUCCUCCAUUCAUAUUGCCCAUUUUCACCCACCUCUUUCUCUCUCUUUUUCUAUUUUUUCUCACCUACCCUCCUUCUCUUUCUCUCUGCCUCUCAGUUUCUCAGUCUUUCAAUGGCGCUCAAGCUCCAUGGAAUUCCCAUGUCCACAUGCACCACUCGUGUCCUCACCUGUCUCCAUGAGAAAGGCUUGGAUUUUGAGCUUGUCCCUGUUAAUCUCUUUGCAGGUGAACAUAAGCAGCCUCCUUUUCUUGCCAAGAAUGUGAGUCUCACUUCCCUCUUUCUUUCUAAUCAUCCCUCUUUAUUCUCUUUGAAGAUUUUACUUUUCUUUGGGGUUGUAUAAAUUAUGAUUUUCCUUGGUUUGGGUACAUUGUUUUUAGUGUGCAGUCUUGUCGAUUUGAUUUUGGUCUUGGUUUUGUUAUACAUAUAUGCAGCCCUUUGGACAGAUUCCAGUUCUGGAAGAUGGCGAUCUCACUCUUUUUGGUAAGUCCUCGGUUUUAAUCACUUUCCUCAUAAAAGCUUGAAAUUUGUUGUACUGUACUACCAUCAGGAUUGACAGUUCCUGAGAUUUAUUAGCUGCUUGCUUUUGAACAAAAUUUUGCUUUAAAAAAUUAAAGGAGUUUUUCUUACAAAAUCAUGCUAUUUAGUACAACAUACGAGCUGGGUCUAUGAUACUAUUAAGUAUACUAUUGCCCCAGCCUUACUGAAAAUCCCUAGUCGAUGAAGUUGGGUUACUGAAAUUAUGUAUAUGUACCAGAAUCUAGGGCAAUAACAGCAUAUUUGGCCGAGAAAUACAAGGAAACGGGGUGUGAUCUCUUGAGGCACAAUGACCUCAAAGAAGCUGCAUUGGUGAAGGUGUGGUUGGAGGUUGAAUCCCAACAAUAUCAUCCGGCAAUAUACCAGAUUGUGUACCAGUUCUUCGUGUUGCCUCUACAAGGCAAGACGGCCGAUCAGGCCAUUAUUGAUGUAAAUCUGGAGAAGUUGGGUAAGGUUCUGGAUGUGUAUGAGGCCAGGCUGGGCACCACAAAGUGCCUAGCAGGAGAUUUCUACAGCUUGGCUGAUCUUCACCACCUUUCUUACACUUACUAUUUCAUGAAGACGCCAUGGGCUUCCCUCAUAAACAGCCGUCCCAAUGUGAAGGCAUGGUGGGAGGACAUUUCCUCAAGGCCAGCUUUCAAGAAAGUGGCUGAAGGCAUGACUUUUGGUGAGAAGUGAUCGGUUUCUGAGCAGUGUGGCUCUAUGUUUUGGGGUAAUAUUAAUUGUAGUGGUUGCUGCCUCUUAAUUACGUGUAUUUAAGUGUGAGACCACGUAAUAAUUACUGAUUAUGUGUUAUGAUUUGCCCUAAAUUAAUCAGAAAUGUGGAAUUAUCUGGGGUUUCUCAUUGUGGUAAUUAAUCUGCUUGCAACCAGUUUUUGAAAGGGUUUGAUGCAUUUUUACUCCAUACUUUGCUUUAGCUAGGGUUAUGUUGGUGUCUCUAAGGCAUAAUGCUUCCAUUUUUGAGUCAUUGCAUACUCAGAUCAAAGUUUUCAAGACUUGUAGAAAAUGGGUUUUGGUAUUUUCAUGAAAGAGAAUGAAAGGGCAAAUUUCUUCACAAGGCAUGUAGUAAGGGUUUUCCCUUUCAAUCAGUCUUUUUCCUGAGAAACAAACAGAAUGUAUAUCAUGCCGUGUCAUCCACUGUGACAGUUUUCCUCUGAAGAGUUUUACUGCAGUACUUCCUAUUUAUUCCCAUUUUUACUUCCCAAACGAGGUAAACACGUACUGUACUGCAGCUCUGGUUAUUUUCAUCAUCCUUGCUUGUCCAAAGCAGCUUCACUCUUUGAACCUAUUUUUAUUGUUAUAUAUAUAUAUAUAUUAGGUCAAAUUAAUCUUCCAAUUUUCUAACUCUAAGCCCUUGCAAAGAGUUUUUGUAGUAUCAUAUGUAUCUACUAUCAGUCAAGCAGAAACUGGAUAAUGUUCUAUAUACGCUUCAAUAAUUAUGGAUCCAGCAAAGGAGAUCUUUUGUUAUGCUACGGGUCUCUACUAAAAUCUGAGGCUGGAACCCACUUCAAUUAUUCACUCAUUUUGUUCUCAUAGAACCUUCAGCCAUGUGACCCUCACCCUCCAACUAACUUUCAACCACAUCUACCACCUUUCUUUCCUUUUUAUUUUUAUUUUUUAGUUUUGACCUAAUUCCAUCUAACUCUCAAAAUGUAUUCUAAAUCAUGCAUCACAGUCUCAAAAUAUAUGUAGGCCCUUCUCUCUAGAUUCUUGAUUCUAUAGUCUUGUACAACCCAAAUUUCUUAGACUCUAGUCUGAAUAAGCUUGAUAGACAUGAUUGUGCUUAUUAUUUAAUAAUUUAAGUUUUUCUUAUAGUAAUUAAUAGUUUAAUAUGAUAUAAUAAAAUUUCUUAUCUUAAUUAAUUUGUAAAAUUAUCUAGAUGAGAUAAAUAGAUAGUCCUAAUUUUUAACUCCAAAAAUUGAUUUUUUUUCUCAAUUAUAAAUUUUCUUAAUCCAAUGCGAGAUUCAAAUAUCAAAAUAAUAGCUAGUUUCAUAAGACACUUGAUGUAUGUGGAAAACCAUCAACAAUCAUGGGUUUGCAAAACAAAGUAAUUACUAAAUCUAAAAGAAUAAGUACACAAUUUUUAUCAAAAUUUGAUACUAUCUUCUCCCAAGGGUCUUAUGUUGGCACAUAUUUACACUUGUUUUCAUGUUUGAGAUGCAACACCUUAUACCCUUUAGGAAACUCCUCAACUACUUGAUAACAUAUAAUCAACCAUUAUGAUUUGAUCUCAAAUAAGAGUUAAGCGAUUGAAAAUGUAUGUGUAGUGAGUUUGAAAUGAGAAUGAUAGAGAAAUUGAACUUUUUCAUUAGACUUUAAAUGAAGCCAUUAAGGAAGAGAUCCACUCCCAAGAUUAAUUCAAGAUGGGGAUAUAAAAAUGGUAUCUUACCAUAAUGACGUCAUCCAUCAAACUUUAUAUGAAGAAGAUAAAUCCAUUGGUUGAACUCUUUAUAGAGGAAUAAUUGACUCUUUAUCAUUAAACAAUAUAUGUUUGUUUUCAACUUGCAAAGAAUCUUAUUCUAGUGCUAUUAAAAAAAUUCUUAAAUAUUUAAAAAGAAUAAUUAAACUAUGUUUGUGAUAUCAUGCAUACUAACUUUGAUCUAAUUAACUAAUUAAAAGUGGAUUUUCCGUUUGUAAAAGUAAUGGAAAUGUAUUAGUGGUACUUAUAAUGUUUGUUUUCAAUCUUACAAAGAAUCUUAUUUUAGUGCUAUUAAAAAUAUUCUUAAAUAUUUAAAAAGAAUAAUUAAACCACGUUUGUGGUAUCAUGCAUACUAACUUUGAUCUAAUUAACUAAUUAAAAAUGGGUUGUUCCAUUUGUAAAAGUAAUGGAAACGUAUUAGUGGUACUUCUAACUUUCUAGGCCACUCACUAGGUUUUGACAUAGUGAUCGAACCUUUGAUCAAUUGAGUUGUCGUGUGCGAUAUAUUUCAUAAUGACUAAUUGAUGCAUGGUGGUUUAGACUUAGUCUUAAUUGGUUGAGGACUUGUUGAUCAGAUGUUAAUCGAUUAAGGUUCUUGCACCUUAAUGAUUACCUCCAAGUGUACUUUUAUUUAAUAGCAUGUUUCUUAGUCCAUCGCCUAAUCCACUAAUUCAGCUAAAAAUGUGCCUAAGGGCUAGUUUCACUCUAGAACUCUUAUUUAAAACUUUCCAACCUUGAGCAAUCAUUGUAGCAAUUUAUUGAAUGGUUCUCUAGAAUACUCUUAUUCCCAAACUCGCAAGUCUCAUUUAGUCUACCUUAAUCUUAGUUUAUUUAUAUAUUUGAUCCUGAAUUUUGCAAACUAGAAAGCUUACUUUAAGAAAUUCACUCUUGUAUUCAUGAAAGAGUAUACUGAAAUGUAAGGGAUCACUUGAGGGCAUUGCAAAGGCAUAUUGGAAGCUUAAAUAUAAGUGUAAAAAAAUUAAAAGCAAAAUCUUAGCACUAGUGAAUGGACCUCAAGCUUAGAUUGAUGAAAGAGAGAGUGGAUAUAGGAGUUAUAGAACCAUUAUAAGUACUUUAUUGCAUCACUCUAUCCCUAUCUCUAUUAAUUUACUUGCACUAUAUUAAUUUUUAUAAUUUGCUUUUUAAUUUUCUAAAUUUUGCAAAAGAACUAACACCGAAUUCUCCUCCCCUCUUGGGUGUCUUCCUCAAGUGAACUCAACUAAUUUGCUUUUCAAUUUUCUAAAAUCAUGAAUCAAUGUAUCAUAAAGCAAAUCCACUAAUUUAAAAAGAAUUAAUACACGGUUUUACCUUAACCAUAUGUUAUCUUCCCCUAAUAAUCUUACACCAAUCAACACAUCCAUUUGUUUUCACGUUUGCAAUGCAAUAUAUGCUCCUUAGUAAACUCCUUAGCAAUUUGAGAUAAUACAAUCAACCAUCAUAAUUUAUCCUUUAAUUAAAGUUAAGUUUUCAGGAAUAUUGGAAACACACAUGAGAAUAACGACAAUUAUUUUCGAGAGCAUGUUGUUUUUUCAAUAUAAGGAGAAAAUCUUACUAAGUCUAUCCAAAUACAUUAAUUGAAAAAAAUAUAGAAUUAGAAAAUCAUGAAAAAAAAAAAACAAAUGGGUCCAAGGUAAACCGAUGUACUCCAUUUUGUCAUGAAUAUUCACUAAAAAUUACUCAACCGUACACAAGCUUGACACACAACAUUUCCCCACUACGUAAUAGCCAUUAAAUCAAAUGAAAAAUAAAAUCUCCAACGUUAAAUUAAGUUGACACCGUGUGCAUCCCUGGUUUCAUAAUGCAGAGUGAGAUGAAACAGAAUCGAUGCACAAGUACUGGGAAAUAAAAUUACCCAUCACGAGUCUAGAAAAUGGGUUCUGAUAUUUUCACAUAAGACAAUGUUGGAGGAUUCUAGGAAAAGAAAGAGAAUGCGGGAAAGGGAAAAUUCUUCACAUGCCUACAGCAUUUACGGCAUAAAGAACGUUUUCUUUCUCAAAGCAUGUGAUCUUUUUCCUGAGAACCAAACAGAUGGCAAAAGCAAGUUCCUGCUUGUCCAAAAAAACCCUGUACUCAUUGGACUAACAAAGCCUGAAUUAAAUAUGGGCCAUUUCGUACCUUCACCAUGGCCCAUUUCUUGUGAUGUUCUUUUGAAUAAAUUUAAGAAAUUACUGUUAGAAAUCAAAUAGAUUGAAUAAAUAUUUUAAUUUAUAAAAAAAUCAUCUUAAAUAAAUAACAAAUAAUAAAUAGGAGAAGGAAAAGAGAAAGUACGUAUAUUUGCAAUGUUACAUUACCUCACCUUAUCGUUUUCCAAAACUUAUAGUAAGCAAGAAUUGGAUUUACUUCUGCCUUCUAUUCUUCAUCAAUACAAUAUGAACGGUAGAGAAGUCCCUUGUUCUAAAGGAGCCGGGCAAGUCGAUUGAAACAAGCGAAUCGAGGUGGCCUGCAACUACCCUAAACAACACUGCAUAAGAAGCCAACAAACUAGUAUAUAACGCCCACCAUACCCUCUUCAUUUUCAGUACCACCUCACCAUCCUCCAUUCAUAUCGCCCAUUUUCACCCACCUCUUUCUCUCUCUCUCUCUCUCUCUCACUCUCUCAGUUUCUCAGUCUUUCAAUGGCGCUCAAGCUCCAUGGAAUUCCCAUGUCCACUUGCACCACUCGUGUCCUCACCUGUCUCCAUGAGAAAGGCUUGGAUUUUGAGCUUGUCCCUGUUAAUCUCUUUGCAGGUGAACAUAAGCAGCCUCCUUUUCUUGCCAAGAAUGUGAGUCUCACUUUCUUCUUUCUUUCUAAUCAUCUCUCUUUCUUCUCUCUGUAGAUUUUGCUUUCUUUGGGGUUGUAUAAAUUAUGAUUUUCCUUGGUUUGGGUACAUUGUUUUUAAUGUACAGUCUCGUCGAUUUGAUUUUGGUCUUGGUUUUGUUAUACAUAUAUGCAGCCC
rnacentral:lncRNA from 1 species